AUGCCCGGAGUUGGACACCGCGAGUUGGGGAGGUAUUCGCAUGGUUCAUGCUUGGUGGGCGGCACAGUUCUUGGCCUUGGCCAUGGGGAAAAAGAGAUCUCAUCGUUUCUCAUGCUUGUCACCUAGGAGGUGUGGUACGAAAGGGAUGUAAGAGUUUUCUGCACCAAAUCGACAGUGAAAACUAUCUUGAUAGACAACAUCAAAAUGAAAGCUAGGAAUUGGGUUCUCGUGGGGGAGAAACAUUUGAUUUCUUUGUUGUCGUGA
rnacentral:rRNA from 1 species